GAGGGUAUAGCUCAGGGGUAGAGCGCAUGCUUAGCAUGCAUGAGGUCCUGGGUUCAAUCCCCAGUACCCCCU
rnacentral:tRNA from 1 species